AUCUUUACUAACUUACACAUUAGGUCACUGGAAAGCAUCCACGGUGAUGAUUGAUUUUUUUAAUAAUAUAUUCUUUACCCAAAAUUAUUAUUUCAAGAUUUCAGUUAAAGCCCACAAGCUUGUAACUGAAAAGGAGAUGUUAAAAGCCAAGAAACUCAUUCGCGGCUAAUGGAACCAGGGCAGCGGUUAGGCCCGUUCAUCUCCUCUAAUCCUCACCUUCACCCUCUGGGUUUCGGAGGAUCUGCUGAUCAAUGCCGAUGGAUGAUAAUGGUCAAAGCGGUGAAGUGGGUGGAUGAAGUCAUUCCAGAUGCUCCUUACCCUGUAACGGAAGAAUGCAUGAACAAACUUUUUUGUGAAUAUAAGAUCGACUACAUAAUUUACGGAGACGGCCCCUGCCUUCUCCCUGAUGGAUCCCAUGCGUACGCCCUCGCCAAGAUGGCUGGCCGAUACAAGCAGAUCAAGCAGACUCAAGGAGUUUCAAGUACGAACAUUGUCGCUUUUGUGCUCGACUAGUUUCUCUGGCUUGCAGCAGCAUUUCAGGCAUCGUUAAACUUCCCCGUCUUGCUUUCUGGAUAGGCAGUAUGCUUCUUUGUGUGAUCACCCAGUGAUAGCCAUAAUCAUGCAUCUAUGCAACGGCAAUUCAGCUAUGGGCACACCCAUAAGAUUGAAGGUGUUGAGGUACUGCAAGUUCGACACAGAUAUCGCAUUUCCUGCCUACAUCUAGAAGGAUUGUACAAUUCUCCAACGGCUAGGUAACUAUUUCCCUUGCUCCUUGCCAGAAUUUCAAUUACUUAUAUGCAUUUGCUAUUUGGUGCUCGAGCAACUAUUGUUAGUAUACAAUUGUAUUAAUUAUUUUAGACUUGAAAAGUUAUUUCUUCUAGUCGGGUCAUAAGCUUGCUCUUUGGCAUUAUGUGAAUUCGUGGUAGCUUGUUUUCCUGAUAUAUUUGAGCUGAAAAUGCAACUUCAAUUUGGGGCUUAUUAUCACAAGGUCUUCAAGACCAUACGUACAGGACAUUCAAUCUUCAGGAUAUGAUGAAAUUCUGGUUUUUGAUCAUUGUACUGUCCAUCCGACUGAUGGACAAACUAGUUUUUUCAUGAAAUUCAAAAGUUGCUUGACAUUGUCAUUUCAUCAGGUUCUACUUCCAAAGUACAUAUUUUCUCAUGUCGUAAAUGCUACCGUGGAACAUGCCAUGAAUAAUAUGCUUAGCUAAGUACGUGGUGAUGAUGUUAUGAGCUUACUGAACCUGAACAUAUAUAUAGAUAUCUAGCAAAACAGUAACAUGGCUUGGUCAAAAAAACUGUUGUGUGUCAAGGAGAAUGAAAACGUUAGAACUUUCAUAUGCUGAUGUUUUUAAGAUUCUUGUAGUGAGACCAAGUUCUCAGGCUCUACUAAGAGAGUCUCUUUUAUCGAGAAAACUUUUAGGAUGAGAAUUUAGGUUGCUGAUAUGAAAACAUUGUUCCUGAGAAAUGGCAAAUAUAUCAGUCUCUCUCUCUCUCUCGUUCUCUCUCGAUAAACACACACGCACACACAUAUAUAUACAUGUGUGUGUGUGUGUGCCUCUGGUAUGGUGCUCUUGGAGUUUCUCCAGUCAUGUUGUGAAACAUCAUCAGUAGAAGUUCCAUUAUAUGCAAUCAGUAUGUGCCCAGUAUGCAACCAACUUGGUUUGUUUGAUAGGACUAUGCCUUGGGUAAUGCAGUUUAGGAAUAAAAGGCAGAAAAACUCUUUUCAUGAUUGACAUAUUGUGAGUUCAUUGAUUUCUCAAGCUAUUGAGGCACCCAUUUGUUUGCUAGAAUUACACGAUCUCAAGGCUGUGACUUAUUACAAACUAUAGAUAGACCAUAUCGAUAAGGUUUGAUGAUGAAAUAAAUGUAUCCUUGAUGAAAAAUAAAUGUAUCAUUCACAAAAACAUAAGCUUUCUAUUAAGUGGGUUUAUGUGCUCAAAUACAUACAUAUAUAUACAUAUGUGUGUGCAUAUAUAUACGUGCAUUUUAUACUGCAAUUUAAUCCUCCUUUUCAUAGAUUUGCUGUUUAUAUUUUGGAAUUCAUGCCAGCACUUUGUGGAGAUCUGGCACCACUCACUGUGUGAGUGUAACUAAUUUACAUGUUUAUAUAUAUUAUAUAGUAUAUAUAUAUAAAAAUAUAUUGUCUUAAUUUUAACAAUCUUCUCAUCCUGACUGCUUAAUCUAGUUCUUUCUUCCUUGAAUGCUCAAAAGUGGGAUGUAAAGAUAGGUUCAGUUGUCUAGGCUAUUCCAAUUGUGAUAUAACAAUUAAUUAUAUAUUUGAUGCAUAUGUCAGAUCUUAUAAUUAAAAAGUUUUGGGCUUAUAAUCUGGCCUAUGCACCCAAAAUUAUGUCUACUUGUCGGGUGAUAAAGUUCAUUUUUGUGGUUUGUCAGGUCACUUUAAAACUCCAGAGAUUAACUCCAGAGAUUACGGAAUGCAUUUUUUUGGAUGGCAUAUUCUACAUAUCCUGUAUAUGUCUAUGUGUUUCGUUGUGUGCAUUCUUGUAUUUUAAUUUUGUGGUAUGUGGGUGAACAAAUUCUGCAAUAGUAUCCUUGACUAUGAGGGCUCAUUGAUAGAUCAAUGUUGACAGCAUUUUCACAAUGUAUAAAUUAUAUUGAAUGGAGCAAAAUAUUUACAAAAGUGAAACUAUUGAGUGCUUCUUUUGCUUAAUAUGUAUAACCUAUAUUACAUUUUACAAUGAAUAGACACAUUUUUAUUUGGUGUUUGAACCAUUUAAUAUCCUUUUUUCUCCUAGUCUCUUCCUUAUGAUGAAAAAUUACAUGCUCAUAUAUAUUUCUUGAUAUAUUUCUUUUUUCCCCGUCUCUUCCUUUUUGAUAAAAUUCUAGUUGUAUGUUUGUUGAAGGCUUUGCUGAUGGUGUUCCCUUAUUCUCUUUUUGUUUUCCAUGUACAAAUCACUUGAGGAUCUUUGUGCACUUCUAUGUUCUAUGGUGGUGCUACUCAUGUGGUUGUCUGCCUGUAUGAGAAGAAGACUAGCAAACCAUCUGUAUGGUUUUCGCUUCUACACAAUUAGAAGUUCCUACAUUAUCUGUUAGUUUAUUGAUGGUAUGUUGCUUUUGCUACUGUUGAAUUAUUUGUUUAAUCAUGUGACAAUUUUUGGAUCAGAUACGUUGCUGAUGUAGACUAACAACUAUAUCUAAAUCCAGUAAUUUCUAGAUUAGAUAAGACAAUUGAUCUAGAACCACGACCAUAUCUAAAUUCAGCAACUUAUGCAUCAGAUAAGACCACUGAUGCAAUUUCACUGCCAGUACCAAAUCCAACAAUUUUGGAUCAGAUAAGACCACUGAUCUACACCAACAACUAGAUCUAAAUCUAAUGAUUGUCAGAUCAGAUAAGACCACUGAAUCAAGCUCACAAAUAGAUCCAAAUGCAACAAUUUUCGGAUCAGAUACGACCAUUGAUGUAGAACGACAACCAGAUCCAAAUCCAAUAUUUCCUGGAUUAGAUAUGACCACUGAUCCAGAUCUACAACUAGAUACAAAUCCAACAAUCUAUGAAUCAAAUAUCACCAUUAAUGCAGACCUACAUAGAUCAAAUAAGACCACUCGUGCAAACCCAUAAACAAACCCAAAUCCGACAAUUUCUAGAUUAGAUAUGCCUGCUGAUGUUGACUAACAACCAUAUCUAAAUCUAGUAAUUUUUUUAUUAGAUAAGAUGACUGAUCCAAAACCAUGACCAUAUCUAAAUUCAACAAGCUAUGCAUCAGAUAAGACCACUAAUGCAACCCCACAACUAAUACCAAAUCCAACAAUUUUCGAUCAGAUAAGACCAUUGAUCAACACUAACAACUAAAUCUAAAUCUGAUGAUUGUCAGAUCAAAUAAGGCCACUGAUCCAAGCUCACAAACAGAUCCAAAUGCAACAAUUUUCGGAUCAGAUACGACCAUUGAUGUUGAACGACAACUAGAUCCCAAUCCAAUAUUGUCUGCAUUAGAAAUGACCACUGAUCCAGAUCCACAACUAGAUACAAAUCCAACAAUCUAUGAAUCAAGUGCAGACCUACAAGCAGUACCAAAUCCAACAAUUUUUGGAUCAUGUAAAACCACUGAUCCAUAUCCAAAAUUAUAUCCAAAUAUGCUGAUUUUCGGAUUAGAUAAAACAACUGAUUCAAACUCACAAGCAUAUUCACAUCCAACAAUUUAUGGAUCAUAAGACCACUGUUAUGAACCCAUAGAUAGAACCAAAUCCAACUAUUUCCAUAUCCAAAUACAUUCAUGUACGGUACAAUGGGUACAUGAAGGUCAUAUUAUUUGCACAACACGAAUUCAAGCUUGAAUUGGUUAUCUUUUGACUAUUUCAAAAUUCAAAGUAAAAUCUUGACUACUUGUGCAUGUCUCUCAUCAUUUUUUCUGCUAAUUCAUCAUUUUCUGUACAACCAAUACCGUUUCUCUAAGUCCAACACAGAUCCAUUUUCUUGUUCUUCUGAAAUUUCUUUUGCUUGUGAAGAGCACAUCUAAAAUUGAAUUUUCUUGACACUUUGAUCUAGUUUGAGAUGUGUGGAAGUUUGGUUUUAAACUGAAUUUUCUUCUUAUUUGUCUUCUUUAGGUGUCAUCAGAUUUUAUUUGUAGUGUAGCAUAGUAGGGACGUGAUUCAUAGCCAUGAGCACUACUUUGAUGCCAUGCUUGUUUGAGUCUUAGCUAAAGUAGUUGUAGUUUGACUGUUAAUUGUUGUGUUCUCUUCAUUGAGCUUGUGAUUCUAUUUAAAAGCAUGUAUGUUAGUUGCACGUGUCAUCGCUAUACCUAGGUAUUUCAGGAUGCAUGUGAAUACUGGUAUUGUUGUGUGAGUUUGUGGCUCUUCAUGUGAAUAUUGGAGUUAUAGAGUCAUCUAUAUCUGUUUCUAUAUCGGUGUCUUCACCUUCUUUUGUUUCUCACAAGUCUCUUCCUUCUUUAUUGAAAAGACUAACCCCUUUCUCUCUUGAGUCUCAUUGGAGCUCAAGCCGCUGCCUAGCACACUUGAAUAUGCUUUUCCGAGAGGGGGAGACUUUGUUUGUCUUCAUAACUUUUGAUGGUGCAGUAGAACAAGGAUGUGAGGUUCUCCACAAGUUUGAUGCAAGCAACUCGCAUCAAAACACUCUUGUUCCUCCCCAUGAACCAAGUAUGAACCCACACACCCAGCCUUCAUAUUCGUUAGAGAUAGAGCAGAUAAAGAACAGUGAAUAAAGCAGAAUCAUCAAAGACAGAACGAAUAAAAGUAGAUCGCACUAAGAAAAAGAAGACAUCUCAGCCACAGCGAAUAAAGAACAGUGCAGAGACAGAACGAAUAAAAGCAGAUCGCACUAAGAAAAGAAGACAUCUCAGCCACACAUCUAGAUGCUAACGAAAAAAAACUUGAGCCGCAGAUCUCCGCCUCAGAGGUCUAUAUAAUGAAAGCAGCAUGAAUCAGGACAUCAUCUUUCCUUAUGUUCUCUAGAUCUUGAGUGUCGUCUGUUCAUCUGUGUAUUUUGGUAUCAGAGCUUGAGAGCUUGAGUGUGUUGUAACUAUAUAGUCUAGUAAGUAGUCUCAUGGAGUUUGUUCCGGAGACAAGCAGUAGUAAGGUAUCAUCAACCUCGUCAGGGAUUGAUGAAAUAACUGUAAGUAUGUUUGCUUUAAUUAUGAAAUAAAAGUGUUAGUUUUCCUUA